rnacentral:rRNA from 1 species
GACGAACGCUGGCGGCGUGCCUAAUACAUGCAAGUAGAACGCACAGUUUAUACCGUAGCUUGCUACACCAUAGACUGUGAGUUGCGAACGGGUGAGUAACGCGUAGGUAACCUGCCUGGUAGCGGGGGAUAACUAUUGGAAACGAUAGCUAAUACCGCAUAAUAUUGAUUAUUGCAUGAUAAUUAAUUGAAAGGUGCAAUUGCACCACUACCAGAUGGACCUGCGUUGUAUUAGCUAGUAGGUGAGGUAACGGCUCACCUAGGCGACGAUACAUAGCCGACCUGAGAGGGUGAUCGGCCACACUGGGACUGAGACACGGCCCAGACUCCUACGGGAGGCAGCAGUAGGGAAUCUUCGGCAAUGGACGAAAGUCUGACCGAGCAACGCCGCGUGAGUGAAGAAGGUUUUCGGAUCGCAAAGCUCUGUUGUAAGAGAAGAACGGGUGUGAGAGUGGAAAGUUCACACUGUGACGGUAUCUUACCAGAAAGGGACGGCUAACUACGUG